AAGUCGUAACAAGGUUUCCGUAGGUGAACCUGCGGAAGGAUCAUUAAUGAAUGAUAAUUUUUUGGGGUUUUCCCUGAAAAAUAAUUCACCUUUUGUGCAUUGUUAUAAGAUAUACUUUGGUUAGAGCUUUGAUUUCAUUUAUUGGAAUCAACUUCUUGCUGACUCUAUCCUAUUGAAUGGGACAGUUGGCUAUGAAGCGGCCUACCAAGGUUUUUUAUCAAACACAUUUAAUCCAACUGACCUAAAACAAACAAUUAAAUCAUAACUUUCAACAACGGAUCUCUUGGCUCUC
rnacentral:misc_RNA from 1 species